AUUUCGUUAGCUUUUAAAGUUUAUCAGUUUCUUCUCCUCAGCUCCUUCGCCUUGUCAGUACUCUGCAAGUGGUCCUGCGAGAGUCUGACCACAUGCCUGCUCUCUCUCCUUCGCUGUUAGGUGUUAAAGAGCAGGCAUCUCUUUGGAAUAACUUUGUGAAGCUGAUUAUACACAAUGGACCAGAGUCGUGGAUAGGAAGUGCAAGCCUUGCUGAAAUCUCUGGGCUCAUCUCAAGAACAGAUUGAACCCUGAGUACAUGUGGGAAGGAGCUGGAUGAGUAAAGAGGUACGAGAGGAGGUGAGACAGCAACCCUGAUGGCCAUGGCAGCAGCACUCCUUUAUUAGCAGCACUUUGGCAAAAUGAGCUGUGCAGCAGUUUCCUAGUUCAGAAAGGCUGGGCUUAAGUUGGUCUUUGUGGUCUCUGCACUUUCUUUCUCCUCAUACAGAAUUACAAAGGGGCAGAUUAUUUUUAAUGAAGUUCGGAUACCAUUUCAGCUUCAGGCUGAAGCGUUUCACACAUUGCACACUUUAGCACUUCAAAGGGGACAAACAUUGUCUCUCCGUCAAGGUGCACAGCAGCCAAAUGCUCACUGUGCCUUAAUGCUGUUAAUGACAGUUCUUCAGCAAUGCUCCCGGCGGGCUGGAUCCCUGCUGUACACCGCACAGCUUUUCCUUUCACCAGCUUAGGGUUCAGCUUUCACACUUCCCUCUGCUUUAUGCCUGCCUUUUGUUUUGCUCUUUAUGUAUCUCUGGGCACGCAGUGCAGCAGCCUCGUUAACGCA